GGAGUUAGCCGGUGCUUCUUCUGCGAGUAACGUCACAGAUGUAAGGUAUUAACUUACACCUUUUCCUCCUCGCUGAAAGUGCUUUACAACCCGAAGGCCUUCUUCACACACGCGGCAUGGCUGCAUCAGGGUUUCCCCCAUUGUGCAAUAUUCCCCACUGCUGCCUCCCGUAGGAGUCUGGGCCGUGUCUCAGUCCCAGUGUGGCUGAUCAUCCUCUCAGACCAGCUAGGGAUCGUCGCCUAGGUGAGCCUUUACCUCACCUACUAGCUAAUCCCACCUGGGCUUAUCCAUCAGCGCAAGGCCCGAAGGUCCCCUGCUUUCCCCCGUAGGGCGUAUGCGGUAUUAGCAGUCGUUUCCAACUGUUAUCCCCCACAAAUGGGCAAAUUCCCAGGCAUUACUCACCCGUCCGCCGCUCGUCAUCUUCAAAAGCAAGCUUUUGAAAUGUUACCGCUCGACUUGCAUGUGUUAGGCCUGCCGCCAGCGUUCAAUCUGAGCCAUGAUCAAACUCUGA
rnacentral:rRNA from 1 species